rnacentral:rRNA from 1 species
UACGGAGGGUGCGAGCGUUGUCCGGAAUCACUGGGCGUAAAGGGCGCGUAGGUGGCGCGGGAAGUCAACGGUGAAAGUUCGGGGCUCAACCCUGAAUCGGCCGUCGAUACUCCCGGGCUCGAGCACUGUAGAGGCAGAUGGAAUUCCGGGUGUAGCGGUGGAAUGCGUAGAGAUCCGGAAGAACACCGGUGGCGAAGGCGGUCUGCUGGGCAGUAACUGACGCUGAGGAGCGAAAGCUGGGGGAGCGAACAGG